AUAGAACGCGGGCGCAGGCAUAACACACACAUGUGGGGCUGUAGCACAGGGACCUUGUCUUGGGUGACGAGUGGCGGACGGGUGAGUAAUGUCUGGGGAUCUGCCCGAUAGAGGGGGAUAACCACUGGAAACGGUGGCUAAUACCGCAUAACGUCGCAAGACCAAAGAGGGGGACCUUCGGGCCUCUCACUAUCGGAUGAACCCAGAUGGGAUUAGCUAGUAGGCGGGGUAAUGGCCCACCUAGGCGACGAUCCCUAGCUGGUCUGAGAGGAUGACCAGCCACACUGGAACUGAGACACGGUCCAGACUCCUACGGGAGGCAGCAGUGGGGAAUAUUGCACAAUGGGCGCAAGCCUGAUGCAGCCAUGCCGCGUGUAUGAAGAAGGCCUUCGGGUUGUAAAGUACUUUCAGCGGGGAGGAAGGC
rnacentral:rRNA from 1 species